UGAUGUCUUUCUGAACUCCCUCGACCAUCCGGACUUCUCCGACGAUGAGCUUCUCCAUUCAUCUACCGGACCGCUCCAAAGGCUCUCUGGGCUUCACUAUCAGCCGAUCUUCUACAGUGAUCAACUAUUCUCCAAAUCUCUUCCAGACUUCUUCUGGCCACAGACGACCCUACUUCGAGCUUCUUCCGGACUUCGUCAAUAUCCGGACUUCUCCGAC
rnacentral:lncRNA from 1 species